GCUUACGGCCAUACCACCCUGAACACGCCCGAUCUCGGAAGCUAAGCAGGGUCGGGCCUGGUUAGUACUUGGAUGGGAGACGCCUGGGAAUACCAGGUGCUGUAAGCU
ensembl:rRNA 5S_rRNA 5S ribosomal RNA